UACGGAGGGUGCGAGCGUUGUCCGGAAUCACUGGGCGUAAAGGGUGCGUAGGCGGUGAGGUAAGUCGGAUGUGAAAUCUCCGAGCUCAACUCGGAAAUGGCAUUGGAAACUACCUCGCUAGAGAGUUGGAGGGGGGACUGGAAUACUUGGUGUAGCAGUGAAAUGCGUAGAUAUCAAGUGGAACACCAGUGGCGAAGGCGAGUCCCUGGACAACUUCUGACGCUGAGGCACGAAAGCUAGGGGAGCAAACAGG
rnacentral:rRNA from 1 species